rnacentral:miRNA from 1 species
AAGUAGGAGGUGUCAGAAAAGUUACCAGAGCUACGUAACUGACUUGUGGUGACGAAGCAUUCAUAGCGAUGCUGCUCUUCCGUCCUUUG